AUACCUUUCUCGGCCUUUUGGCUAAGAUCUAAGUGUAGUAUAUGUUCUUAUCAGUUUAAUAUCUGAUAUGCUUGUCUAUUGGACGACGCGAUAUUAAAUUUAUUUUUUUCAUGGGGGAGUUCCCAUCACGGCAGCUUGCUGCUGGGGUUCUCAUGAGUAGCCUCUGCGGUUCACUACUGCAAAGGCCUGGCGCACCCUAC